rnacentral:rRNA from 1 species
GACGAACGCUGGCGGCGUGCCUAAUACAUGCAAGUCGAACGCAGUGGGGACGGGUGAGUAACACGUGGGUAACCUCCCAUCAGAGGGGAUAACACUUGGAAACAGGUGCUAAACCGAUACUGAUGGAUGGACCCGCGGUGCAUUAGCUAGUUGGUGGGGUAACGGCUCACCAAGGCCACGAUCCAUAGCCGGCCGGAGAGGGUGAUCGGCAACACUGGGACUGCGACACGGCCCAGACUCCUACGGGAGGCAGCAGUAGGGAAUCUUCGGCAAUGAGCGCAAGCCUGAUGCAGCCAUGCCGCGUGUGUGAAGAAGGCCUUCGGGUUGUAAAGCACUUUCAGCGGGGAGGCGUUACCCGCAGAAGAAGCACCGGCUAACUCCGUGCCAGCAGCCGCGGUAAUAC